AUUGAACGCUGGCGGCAGGCCUAACACAUGCAAGUCGAGCGAGCGGCGGACGGGUGAGUAAUGUAUGGGGACUGCCCGAUAGAGGGGGAUAACUACUGGAAACGGUGGCUAAUACCGCAUACUAUCGGAUAACCCAUAUGGGAUUAGCUAGUAGGUGGGGUAAUUGCUCACCUAGGCGACGAUCUCUAGCUGGGCUGAGCGGAUGAUAUGCCACGCGUGAACUGAGACACUGCCGAGACUCCUACGGAGGCAGCAGUGGGGAAUAUUGCACAAUGGGCGCAAGCCUGAUGCAGCCAUGCCGCGUGUAGGAAGAAGGCCUUAGGGUUGGAAAGUACUUUCAGCGGGGAGGCGUUACCCGCAGAAGAAGCACCGGCUAACUCCGUGCCAGCCGCCGCGGUAAUAC
rnacentral:rRNA from 1 species